rnacentral:rRNA from 1 species
UACGGGGGGGGCAAGCGUUGUUCGGAAUUACUGGGCGUAAAGGGCUCGUAGGCGGCCAACUAAGUCAGGCGUGAAAUCCCCGGGCUUAACCUGGGAAUGGCACUUGAAACUACGGGACUGGAGUAUGGCAGAGGGAGGUGGAAUUCCACGUGUAGCGGUGAAAUGCGUAGAGAUGUGGAGGAACACCGAUGGCGAAGGCAGCCUCCUGGGCCAAUACUGACGCUCAUGCACGAAAGCGUGGGGAGCAAACAGG